rnacentral:tRNA from 1 species
GCCCACAUGGCGCAGGGGUAGCGCACAUCUUUGGUAAAGAUGAGGUCAUGGGUCCGAAUCCCAUUGUGGGCUCCA